AUAUAUAUAUAUAUAUAUAUAUACUGUGCUCUUUUUUUUUUUGGUAAAAACAAUAGGUGCCGGUACUCAGUGAUGGAUCGCCAAACUUUUAACUACUAAAAAUUAAUAAUAAACGUCGUUAAUAUACAAGAAAAGUACUAUUUUUUCCCCAGAUUAAAAAAGGUGCCGGUACGGCGUACCGGAACGUACCGUCACAAAAAAAGUACUGUAAAUAUAUAUAUAUAUACAUAUAUAUAUAUAUAUGUAUGUAGGUAUGUAUAUGAUAUAUAUAUAUAUAUAUAUA